AUUCCAGCUCUGUGAGCGUAUAUUAAAGUUGUUGCAGUUAAAAAGCUCGUAGUUGAAACUUGGGGAUGCUAGGCAGGUCCGCUUUGCGAGUACUUGUCCUGGCGUCCCUUUCCUUUGGUGGAUGGCGUAGCUUUCAUUAGUUGCGCAAUAAGCCAAACAUUUACUUUGAAAAAAUUAGAGUGUUCAAAGCAGGCCUUUGCUCGAAUAUCUUAGCAUGGAAUAAUAGAAUAGGACGUAUGGUUCUAUUUUGUUGGUUUCUAGGACCGUCGAAAUGAUUAAUAGGGACCGUCAGGGGCAUCAGUAUUCAGUUGUCAGAGGUGGAAUUCUUGGAUUUACUGAAGACUAACUACUGCGAAAGCAUUUGCCAGGGAGGUUUUCAUUA
rnacentral:rRNA from 1 species